rnacentral:rRNA from 1 species
CCUACGGGAGGCAGCAGUGGGGAAUAUUGGACAAUGGGCGAAAGCCUGAUCCAGCAAUGCCGCGUGAGUGAUGAAGGCCUUAGGGUUGUAAAGCUCUUUUACCAGGGAUGAUAAUGACAGUACCUGGAGAAUAAGCUCCGGCUAACUCCGUGCCAGCAGCCGCGGUAAUACGGAGGGAGCUAGCGUUGUUCGGAAUUACUGGGCGUAAAGCGUACGUAGGCGGUUAUUCAAGUCAGAGGUGAAAGCCUGGAGCUCAACUCCAGAACUGCCUUUGAAACUAGAUAGCUAGAAUCUUGGAGAGGUGAGUGGAAUUCCGAGUGUAGAGGUGAAAUUCGUAGAUAUUCGGAAGAACACCAGUGGCGAAGGCGACUCACUGGACAAGUAUUGACGCUGAGGUACGAAAGCGUGGGGAGCAAACAGGAUUAGAUACCCUGGCAGUCCACGACGUAACGANNAUACUANCUGUUCGGUCGUCUACGAGCUGUAGUGGCGC